rnacentral:rRNA from 1 species
GACGGAGGGUGCUAGCGUUGUUCGGAAUCACUGGGCGUAAAGGGCGCGUAGGCGGCUCCUGCAGUCGGCUUGUGAAAGCCCGGGGCUCAACCCCGGAACGGCGGCCGAUACUCAGGGGCUGGAGGCCGGAAGAGGAGGGUGGAAUACCCAGUGUAGAGGUGAAAUUCGUAGAUAUUGGGUGGAACACCGGUGGCGAAAGCGGCUCUCUGGUCCGGUCCUGACGCUGAGGCGCGAAAGCGUGGGGAGCAAACAGG